GGGUUGUGAGGUUAAGCGACUAAGCGUACACGGUGGAUGCCCUGGCAGUCAGAGGCGAUGAAGGACGUGCUAAUCUGCGAUAAGCGUCGGUAAGGUGAUAUGAACCGUUAUAACCGGCGAUUUCCGAAUGGGGAAACCCAGUGUGUUUCGACACACUAUCAUUAACUGAAUCCAUAGGUUAAUGAGGCGAACCGGGGGAACUGAAACAUCUAAGUACCCCGAGGAAAAGAAAUCAACCGAGAUUCCCCCAGUAGCGGCGAGCGAACGGGGAGCAGCCCAGAGCCUGAAUCAGUGUGUGUGUUAGUGGAAGCGUCUGGAAAGGCGCGCGAUACAGGGUGACAGCCCCGUACACAAAAAUACACAUACUGUGAGCUCGAUGAGUAGGGCGGGACACGUGGUAUCCUGUCUGAAUAUGGGGGGACCAUCCUCCAAGGCUAAAUACUCCUGACUGACCGAUAGUGAACCAGUACCGUGAGGGAAAGGCGAAAAGAACCCCGGCGAGGGGAGUGAAAAAGAACCUGAAACCGUGUACGUACAAGCAGUGGGAGCACAGAGCAAUCUGUGUGACUGCGUACCUUUUGUAUAAUGGGUCAGCGACUUAUAUUCUGUAGCAAGGUUAACCGAAUAGGGGAGCCGAAGGGAAACCGAGUCUUAACUGGGCGUUAAGUUGCAGGGUAUAGACCCGAAACCCGGUGAUCUAGCCAUGGGCAGGUUGAAGGUUGGGUAACACUAACUGGAGGACCGAACCGACUAAUGUUGAAAAAUUAGCGGAUGACUUGUGGCUGGGGGUGAAAGGCCAAUCAAACCGGGAGAUAGCUGGUUCUCCCCGAAAGCUAUUUAGGUAGCGCCUCGUGAAUUCAUCUCCGGGGGUAGAGCACUGUUUCGGCAAGGGGGUCAUCCCGACUUACCAACCCGAUGCAAACU
rnacentral:rRNA from 1 species